rnacentral:lncRNA from 1 species
AGCCAGCCUAGCUGCAGUGGGGGAGUGCUUCUAGCAAAACCUGCUGGACUGCAGGGCUGACACACUUGGUGUGUGAAGGGGCUUUCCGUGCCUGCACGCCCAGAACAGGCAGCGUUGCAGGAACACACCCAGGACAGAAAAGCGUGGCAGAGCCCUCCUAUGGCUAGAGGGUGCUGAUGGGGCCUCACAGGGGCUGAUCCAGCAGCUAGGAGUAGUUUGGGUUUAGAAAGACUGUAUUCAGUGCAAUCCCUUGGCAUGCUCCCUCCAGUUAUAGGAUCAAUAACGUAGAUGAGUAUUUGCCUUUGAUGGCACUCCUGAAGGCUGAUGUUAGGUGGCUGGUUGUCACAGCUUUUGUGUAAUGCCAACAUUGCUGAAUGAAACAUGUAGCAUAAGUGGCCCAGAGUGAGGAGGGGCUGGCGCUGAAACCCAUCAGGUAACAGCUUUGUGGGGGAGCUGCAGGUCCUGGCUCUGGGGUGGGACUGGCUCUCCAGGACUUGGGGGCCUGCAGAGCUGGUGGAGAUUUCAAAGGAGUUAGUCGUUAAAAGAAAACCACCAAGUGAACACCAACAGCAAAAGACAAUGCAAACCACUGAAGAACAGGGAAGGGAAACAGCAUGAGAAGGCUCCAGCUGCUUGUGGAAAGCUUUUUGGAUAUGUCCCAGCACAGCACUGCCUCUCAGAAAGAGCCACUCUGCAGCUGUUCGGCUGAUCUCUGUGGACUCUAACAGCCAGCUUCAGCAGUUACUUCUGUUUGAGUGGCAAGGCUGUCAAGUGGAGACCUUCCAGAGGGCAAGGGAGAGCUGGGCAGUGGGUCUUUCAAAUAUAUGGCAAACAUAAAUGCACAUUCUGACAUUCUGUUGUUUUGCAGGAGACUCAGCCCACUGCAUUAUUACUUCUGAAGUGCCAGAGCUUCAGCGCCUGUCUGCCAGCACCUUUCUGUAUACAGCUGUGUAUUAAGUGCCUCAGACAUGGGGAUAAGGAGGAAGGACCACAGUGAAGUCUUGGUUUUUCAGACAGGCAAAAGGAUCAAGGCUUCUAACCAGUCCUGGCUAUGCCUUUGUGCAAGUUCCCAAUGACCAAACGAAGUAUGAGCGCUGGUGUUUUGAGAGAGUGAGGCACAGGAACAGCUGUAGCAUAUCAUCUGCACAAGUCUUGAUUAUGGAAGACAUCAACCUGACCUUCCUCCAUGAAAGUGGCAGGACUUACCUGCAGCCAUGGUUACCCUUUUUUGGAGCUUAA